rnacentral:tRNA from 1 species
GGGGCAGUAGCUCAGUUGGGAGAGCGCCUGCUUUGCAAGCAGGAGGUCGCAGGUUCGAUCCCUGUCUGCUCCA